AUUGAACGCUGGCGGCAUGCCUUACACAUGCAAGUCGAACGGCGGCGGGCCUUCGGGUGCCGGCGAGUGGCGAACGGGUGAGUAAUGCAUCGGAACGUGCCAUUGAGUGGGGGAUAACGUAGCGAAAGUUACGCUAAUACCGCAUAUUCUGUGAGCAGGAAAGCAGGGGACCGCAAGGCCUUGCGCUCUUUGAGCGGCCGAUGUCAGAUUAGCUAGUUGGUGAGGUAAAGGCUUACCAAGGCGACGAUCUGUAGCGGGUCUGAGAGGAUGAUCCGCCACACUGGAACUGAGACACGGUCCAGACUCCUACGGGAGGCAGCAGUGGGGAAUUUUGGACAAUGGGCGCAAGCCUGAUCCAGCCAUGCCGCGUGAGUGAAGAAGGCCU
rnacentral:rRNA from 1 species